GAUGAACGCUGGCGGCGUGCCUAAUACAUGCAAGUCGAGCGAACGGACGAGAAGCUUGCUUUUCUGAUGUUAGCGGCGGACGGGUGAGUAACACGUGGAUAACCUACCUAUAAGACUGGGAUAACUUCGGGAAACCGGAGCUAAUACCGGAUAAUAUUUUGAACCGCAUGGUUCAAAAGUGAAAGACGGUCUUGCUGUCACUUAUAGAUGGAUCCGCGCUGCAUUAGCUAGUCGGUAAGGUAACGGCUUACCAAGGCAACGAUGCAUAGCCGACCUGAGAGGGUGGUAGGCCACACUGGAACUGAGACACGGUCCAGACUCCUACGGGAGGCAGCAGUAGGGAAUCUUCCGCAAUGGGCGAAAGCCUGACGGAGCAACGCCGCGUGAGUGAUGAAGGUCUUCGGAUCGUAAAACUCUGUUAUUAGGGAAGAACAUAUGUGUAAGUAACUGUGCACAUCUUGACGGUACCUAAUCAGAAAGCCACGGCUAACUACGUG
rnacentral:rRNA from 1 species